GCGGCGGACGGGUGAGUAACACGUGGGCAACCUGCCUGUAAGACUGGGAUAACACCGGGAAACCGGUGCUAAUACCGGAUAAUUCUUCCCUUCACAUGAGGGGAAGCUGAAAGUCGGUUUCGGCUGACACUUACAGAUGGGCCCGCGGCGCAUUAGCUAGUUGGUGAGGUAACGGCUCACCAAGGCAACGAUGCGUAGCCGACCUGAGAGGGUGAUCGGCCACACUGGGACUGAGACACGGCCCAGACUCCUACGGGAGGCAGCAGUAGGGAAUCUUCCGCAAUGGACGAAAGUCUGACGGAGCAACGCCGCGUGAGUGAUGAAGGCCUUCGGGUCGUAAAACUCUGUUGUUAGGGAAGAACAAGUACCGGAGUCACUGCCGGUACCUUGACGGUACCUAACCAGAAAGCCACGGCUAACUACGUGCC
rnacentral:rRNA from 1 species